rnacentral:rRNA from 1 species
AACGAACGCUGGCGGCGUGCCUAACACAUGCAAGUCGAACGGGGAUAAGUAGCUUGCUAUUUAUUCUAGUGGCGCACGGGUGAGUAACGCGUAGAUAAUCUGCCUUGGACUCUGGGAUAACAUCUCGAAAGGGGUGCUAAUACCGGAUAAGCCCACGGGGACGUGAGUUCUUGCGGGAAAAGGGGGCCUCUGCAUAUGCUCUUGAUCCAAGAUGAGUCUGCGUACCAUUAGCUAGUUGGUAGGGUAAGAGCCUACCAAGGCGACGAUGGUUAGCUGGUCUGAGAGGAUGAUCAGCCACACUGGAACUGAGACACGGUCCAGACUCCUACGGGUGGCUG